CUGAGUAGUUGUGUUGGUUCUUCCUAUAGCUGCUGUGUGUGUUUACAUGGGUUGUUUUUGUCUUGGCUUUGCACUCUCAUUGUGGAUGAGUGCAAAUGUAAAUAUGUCACUGCUAUUCCUAGAUUCCCCUGCUUAUGCUGCUUGUGAUAUUUGCCACCUCCACUGCCUUAUUUUAUCUUCGUACCUUGCCUUUUAAGGCAAGUUCCCCACGGCACUCUUACAGAUUAGGUGCUAUGUUGACCUACCAGUAUUAUUCUAGCAUUGAUUUUUGGUUGUAGAACUACAGGGGUGACCUCUUGCUUCUGAUGUCUGUUCACAGGUCACAUGUGAGCAUAGCUUCAGGGAUGAUUACAUAGACAUACAAUGCAACCAAAAGGCAGAUGGCACAGAAGACCAGAUAGCAGAAGGCACCAGCGGACACCUGCGAACGGAAGCAGAAUGGAGUCAAGACAUGUGCAUUCUUUCCUCAGACCUCAUGCAAUGCAAUAAAAAGCCAUCACCAGCAA